CGCGUAGGCGGCUUUUCAAGUCGGGGGUGAAAGCCUGUGGCUCAACCACAGAAUUGCCUUCGAUACUGUUAGGCUUGAGACCGGAAGAGGUGAGUGGAACUGCGAGUGUAGAGGUGAAAUUCGUAGAUAUUCGCAAGAACACCAGUGGCGAAGGCGGCUCACUGGUCCGGUUCUGACGCUGAGGCGCGAAAGCGUGGGGAGCAAACA
rnacentral:rRNA from 1 species